CCUACGGGUGGCUGCAGUGGGGAAUAUUGCACAAUGGGCGAAACCCUGAUGCAGCGAUGCCGCGUGAGUGAAGAAGGCUCUCGGUACGUAAAGCUCUAUCAGCAGGGAAGAAAAUGACGUUACCUGUAUACGAAGCCCCUGCCAACUACGGGCCAGACACCGCGGUAAUACGUAGGGGGCAAGCGUUAUCCGGAUGUACGGGGUGUAAAGGGAGCGUAGACGGCAGCGCAAGGCUGGAGUGAAAUGCCCGGGACCAACCCAGGAACUGCUUGGGAAACUGUGCCGCUCGAGUGCAGGAGAGGGAAGCGGAAUUCCUAGUGUAGCGGUGAAAUGCGUAGAUAGUAGGAGGAACACCAGUGGCGAAGGCGGCUUACUGGACUGUAACUGACGUUGAGGCUCGAAAGCGUGGGGAGCAAACAGGAUUAGAUACCCGAGUAGUC
rnacentral:rRNA from 1 species